rnacentral:rRNA from 1 species
GAGAGAGACAUGCGCGCAUAUCAAUAAGCGGAGGAAAAGAAACUAACAAGGAUUCCCCUAGUAACGGCGAGUGAAGCGGGAAGAGCUCAAAUUUGAAAUCUUAAAGGGUUUCCCUUUACGAAUUGUAGUUUAAAGAAGUGUUUUCUGUUGAGGUUUUGGUAAAAGUUCUUUGGAAUAGGACAUCAUAGAGGGUGAGAAUCCCGUAUUUGGUCAUUCCUCCUAGCGUUGUGAUACACUUUCAAAGAGUCGGAUUGUUUGGGAAUGCAGUCCAAAAUGGGUGGUAAAUUUCAUCUAAAGCUAAAUAUUGGCGAGAGACCGAUAGCGAACAAGUACCGUGAGGGAAAGAUGAAAAGAACUUUGAAAAGAGAGUUAAACAGUACGUGAAAUUGUCAAAAGGGAAGCGUUUGACACCAGUGUUGUUUUUCUGAAAAUCAAUUAAAGAACUGUUUAUGCUAAGUUGUUUAGACUUUAUCAGCUAACUGUUUAGUUUUGAGCUUUUCUUUAAUGCACUUUUCAGUCAACAAGUCAACAUCAAUUUCUUUUGCUGUAAAAAAGCUUGAGGAAGGUGGCUUGAGAUUCGUCUUAAGUGUUUAUAGCCUCUUGCCUAUGCAGUCGGAGAGAUUGAGGUCUGCAGCGUAGAUCCUUCGGGGCUAAAUGCAUUUGUGCUAAGUUAUAGCAUUUUAUAGACAACUUGUUGACUAUGAUUUGUCUUGUAGCUUACUCGCUUAUGUUAUUUUACCUACGCUUAGGAUGUUGAAGACUCUACAGAGAUA